UACGGGGGGGGCAAGCGUUGUUCGGAAUUACUGGGCGUAAAGGGCUUGUAGGUGGCCAACUAAGUCAGACGUGAAAUCCCUCGGCUUAACCCGGGAACUGCGUCUGAUACUGGAUGGCUGGAGUGUGGGAGAGGGAUGCGGAAUUCCAGGUGUAGCGGUGAAAUGCGUAGAUAUCUGGAGGAACACCGGUGGCGAAGGCGGCAUCCUGGACCAUUACUGACACUGAAAAGCGAAAGCCAGGGGAGCAAACGGG
rnacentral:rRNA from 1 species